CCGACUUUAGCUCAGUUGGUAGAGCGGAGGACUGUAGUGGGAAACAAAAUCCUUCGGAAAUCCUUAGGUCGCUGGUUCGAAUCCGGCAAGUCGGA
rfam:Picea glauca, whole genome shotgun sequence.